rnacentral:rRNA from 1 species
AUUGAACGCUGGCGGCAGGCCUAACACAUGCAAGUCGAGCGGAUGAAGGGAGCUUGCUCCUGGAUUCAGCGGCGGACGGGUGAGUAAUGCCUAGGAAUCUGCCUGGUAGUGGGGGAUAACGUCCGGAAACGGGCGCUAAUACCGCAUACGUCCUGAGGGAGAAAGUGGGGGAUCUUCGGACCUCACGCUAUCAGAUGAGCCUAGGUCGGAUUAGCUAGUUGGUGGGGUAAAGGCCUACCAAGGCGACGAUCCGUAACUGGUCUUAGAGGAUGAUCAGUCACACUGGAACUGAGACACGGUCCAGACUCCUACGGGAGGCAGCAGUGGGGAAUAUUGGACAAUGGGCGAAAGCCUGAUCCAGCCAUGCCGCGUGUGUGAAGAAGGUCUUCGGAUUGUAAAGCACUUUAAGUUGGGAGGAAGGGCAGUAAGUUAAUACCUUGCUGUUCUGACGUUACCAACAGAAUAAGCACCGGCUAACUUCGUG